GGUGAACGCUGGCGGCGUGCUUAAGACAUGCAAGUCGAACGGGCUCUUCGGAGCUAGUGGCGCACGGGUGAGUAACGCGUAACUGACCUACCCCAAAGUCGCGGAUAACGAUUCGAAAGAAUCGCUAAUACGUGAUGUGCUGCUCCCUCAUGUGGGAUCAGUAAAGAUUUAUUGCUUUGGGAUGGGGUUGCGUUCCAUCAGCUAGUUGGCGGGGUAAAGGCCCACCAAGGCGACGACGGAUAGCCGGCCUGAGAGGGUGGCCGGCCACAGGUGCACUGAGACACGGGUCCCACUCCUACGGGAGGCAGCAGUUAGGAAUCUUCCACAAUGGGCGAAAGCCUGAUGGAGCGACGCCGCGUGAGGGAUGAAGGUCUUCGGAUCGUAAACCUCUGAAUCAGGGACGAAAGACGCGCAAGCGGGAUGACGGUACCUGAGUAAUAGCACCGGCUAACUCCGUGCCAGCAGCCGCAGUAAAAC
rnacentral:rRNA from 1 species